AAACAGAGAGCUGAAAAGUUGCACAUUUCCAUUGCACCUAGAAUGAGCAAAUCAGCUGUGCAUCAUCUCUGGGAUUUGGGCAGGAAAUGACCGAAUAUGAUGAGUACUGACACCUGCACCUGUAUUCACCAACACCAUUUCUCUAGAGUUAUUGUUGACUUAUUGUUUUGUCUGUUUGUUUGAAGGAGGAUGAAGCCAGUUGAUGAAGAAAUCAAUUCAAUGGCCACCAAGUGCAGCACUGCUGCCUGAACCCAUCAGGUAUCUGCUGUGAAGACUGCAUUCGCAAACAGCUCUACUGCGACAGCGCAGAUGUUACGGCACAUAAAAGUAAAUUUCACAACUGGACAACUGCAAGAUAGUUGUGGAGGGAUUCUUUUGGCCCAUACCUCCAACAACCUUCAACAAGAAUCAAUGGACAUCUACACCAGGUGGUGUGUGAGGAGGACCGUCAGAGACUCCAGCCACCCGAGCCAUGGAUUGCUCUCACCGUUACCAUCAGGCAGAAGUUAUCACAGAACCUUCACCAGCAGACUGCGAGACAAGUUCUUUCCACAGGCAAUCAGACUGAACUGAACUCGUACCAGUAACACCACACCAGCCUCAUAUGCACUGCACUCUAUCACUUACACUGACUGGACUCUGACUCACUAUUAUUCUGCACCCUGACAUUCUGUUUGCACUAAUUCAUACCGUGCUGCACUGCAAAGGUAUAUGUGUACUGUCAUUAUUAUGUUUAUUAUUGUUUUCAUUUCACGCUCUCUGUAUAGCAUAA